rnacentral:rRNA from 1 species
GACAGAGGGUGCAAACGUUGUUCGGAAUUACUGGGCGUAAAGCGAGUGUAGGCGGUCUGAAAAGUCAGGUGUGAAAGCCCUGGGCUCAACCCAGGAAGUGCACUUGAAACUGCCAGGCUAGAGUAUCGGAGAGGUUGGUGGAAUUCUCGGUGUAGAGGUGAAAUUCGUAGAUAUCGAGAGGAACACCGGUGGCGAAGGCGGAUCUCUGGGCCUUACCUGACGCUGAGGCGCGAAAGCUAGGGGAGCGAACAGG